CACACAUACAGCACACACACAUACAGCACACACACAUACAGCACACACACAUACAGCACGGGUUAAAAGGCAGAAAGCGCUGGUUCAAAAUCCAAACGAGUCCAUGUCAGUUUAAUUAGACCUCUGCCAUUUGCCAGGGUCAGAGAGUAAGAGAGGCUAACAGUCAACCAGCUAGACUCAGUCAGAGUGUUAUCCAAGCAGGAAGUCUACUAGAACUCUACAGGAGGAGGGGUACGGCUGGUGGGCUGGCUGGAGGUGGAACUCUACAGGAGGAGGGGUACGGCUGGUGGGCUGGCUGGAGGUGGAACUCUACAGGAGGAGGGGUACGGCUGGUGGGCUGGCUGGAGGUGGAACUCUACAGGAGGAGGGGUACGGCUGGUGGGCUGGCUGGAGGUGGGACUCUACAGGAGGAGGGGUACGGCUGGUGGGCUGGCUGGAGGUGGAACUCUACAGGAGGAGGAGGGGUAUGGGUGUUUAUUUAAAUAUCUCUCUGUCUCGGGAAGUCAUUCAGAGUAUUUAUUUAAACAUGUAUUUCAGACCAGAUAGAUAAUGUGCUGCUCUCAGUUUCAAUGGGAGGAGUCAACAGAGAUUUCACUCACUCACACACCUGCACAUACUCACCACAUCCAACAAACUGGGCAAGGCCUUCGUUCUACAAUCUCCUUUGAACACAGCACUGGACAGGAAGAGGAGUGUCAGGGUGUUGUUGUCAGUUAGUAUGACCGUGUUCCUGUCUGCUACUGUUGACAACCGUUGGAGAUGUUGCUAGGGUAGACAGAUAUAAUCUAACAGACAGUGUGAGGGUGUAGACAGUUGGAGAGAUAGAUAGAGAGGCCAUGUUGCUAGGGUAGACAGAUAUAAUCUAACAGACAGUGUGAGGGUGUAGACGGAGAGAUGGAUAGAGAGGCCAUGUUGCUAGGGUAGACAGAUAUAAUCUAACAGACAGUGUGAGGGUGUAGACAGUUGGAGAGAUAGAUAGAGAGGCCAUGUUGCUAGGGUAGACAGAUAUAAUCUAACAGACAGUGUGAGGGUGUAGACAGUUGGAGAGCCAGUUCAGUGAUGUCACUGAUUUACAGUGUAGUUACCAGUUCAGUGAUGUCACUGAUUUACAGUGUAGUUACCAGUUCAGUGAUGUCACUGAU
ensembl:lncRNA